rnacentral:misc_RNA from 1 species
GAUGAAGAACGUAGCGAAAUGCGAUAAGUAGUGUGAAUUGCAGAAUUCAGUGAAUCAUCGAAUCUUUGAACGCACAUUGCGCCCCCUGGUAUUCCGGGGGGCAUGCCUGUCCGAGCGUCAUUGCUGCCCUCAAGCACGGCUUGUGUGUUGGGCUCCGUCCCCCCGGGGACGGGCCCGAAAGGCAGCGGCGGCACCGAGUCCGGUCCUCGAGCGUAUGGGGCUUUGUCACCCGCUCUGUAGGCCCGGCCGGCGCCAGCCGACAACCCAUCAUCCUUUUCAGGUUGACCUCGGAUCAGGUAGGGAUACCCGCUGAACUUAAGCAUAUCAUAAGCGGAGGA